UGCGUAGGCGGGCUAAUAAGUCAGUGGUGAAAUCUUCCGGCUCAACCGGGAAACUGCCAUUGAUACUGUUAGCCUUGAGUUAGGUUGAGGUAGGCGGAAUGUGUAAUGUAGCGGUGAAAUGCUUAGAUAUUACACAGAACACCAAUUGCGUAGGCAGCUUACUAGACCGACACUGUCGCUGAGGCACGAAAGCGUGGGGAGCGAACAGGAUUAGAUACCCUGGUAGUCC
rnacentral:rRNA from 1 species